ACACCUCAACUCUCAUGGUUUGCCAUGAUGAGCUUGGACUUUGGGGGUCUUGCCGGCCUAUGGUCAGCUCCUCUCAAACGAAUCAGCUUGCCAGUGUUUGGUGGCAUCGCGGGUGUGAUAACUAUCUACACUUGUGGUUUUCCAUCAGAUAACCUUCAGUGAUGAAGGUUCGCUGGAGCUCACAAAUGUCUCUCCUCGGUGAGGACAGCUUUCUGAAU
rnacentral:misc_RNA from 1 species